rnacentral:piRNA from 1 species
UGCCAAAUUCUAUAUGGUUUAUAUUACACUC